rnacentral:rRNA from 1 species
GACGAACGCUGGCGGCGUGCUUAACACAUGCAAGUCGAACGGGAUCCAAAGGCUUUUUGUUUUUGGUGAGAGUGGCGAACGGGUGAGUAACACGUGAGUAACCUGCCCCCUUCUUUUGGAUAACCGCAUGAAAGUGUGGCUAAUACAGGAUAUUCCAGGCUGGUCGCAUGAUUGGUUUGGGAAAUGGUUUGGUCUGGUGGGGGAUGGGCUCGCGGCCUAUCAGCUUGUUGGUGGGGUGAUGGCCUACCAAGGCGGUGACGGGUAGCCGGCCUGAGAGGGUGGGCGGUCACACUGGGACUGAGAUACGGCCCAGACUCCUCCGGGAGGCAGCAGUGGGGGAUUUUGCACAAUGGGCGCAAGCCUGAUGCAGCGACGCCGCGUGAGGGAUGAAGGCCUUCGGGUUGUAAACCUCUUUCGCUGGGUUGAAAGGCCAUGCUUUGGGUGUGGUUGAUUUGAACUGGUAAAGAAGUACCGGCUAACUACGUG